rnacentral:rRNA from 1 species
AUGACCCUAGGUUAGGUGGGAUUACCCGUUGAGUUUAA